UACGAAGGGGGCUAGCGUUGCUCGGAAUCACUGGGCGUAAAGGGUGCGUAGGCAGGUCUUUAAGUCAGGGGUGAAAUCCUGGAGCUCAACUCCAGAACUGCCUUUGAUACUGAGGAUCUUGAGUUCGGGAGAGGUGAGUGGAACUGCGAGUGUAGAGGUGAAAUUCGUAGAUAUUCGCAAGAACACCAGUGGCGAAGGCGGCUCACUGGCCCGAUACUGACGCUGAGGCACGAAAGCGUGGGGAUCAAACAGG
rnacentral:rRNA from 1 species